CAGCCGCCGCGGGAAUACGUAGGUGGCAAGCGUUAUCCGGAAUUAUUGGGCGUAAAGCGCGCGUAGGCGGUUUUUUAAGUCUGAUGUGAAAGCCCACGGCUCAACCGUGGAGGGUCAUUGGAAACUGGAAAACUUGAGUGCAGAAGAGGAAAGUGGAAUUCCAUGUGUAGCGGUGAAAUGCGCAGAGAUAUGGAGGAACACCAGUGGCGAAGGCGACUUUCUGGUCUGUAACUGACGCUGAUGUGCGAAAGCGUGGGGAUCAAACAGGAUUAGAUACCCGUGUAGUCCCUGUCUCUUAUAC
rnacentral:rRNA from 1 species